UCUUUAUAUGCUUCAAAUUUAGUAAUACAACCUACCUCAAAUUCCUUAAUCUUGUUCUCAAUCAACAAACGUUUUUGCCUUUCUUCUUCCUCUUGUUUCAAACACUCCUCCAAUUCUAUGGUGCUCAAAACAAGUCCCCCAGACCCAUUAUUCUUGUAAAUUGGUUCUUCAGGCAGUGCGCAUUUUGCUCGAUAAUUAGCAAAUGCCUUGUGCGUCUCCUUCAAAGCCUUUCUAUAUCCUUCUAAAAGAUUUCCCAUCGUAUAUAAUUCACGUUCAAGCCUAUAAACCUCUGAAUGCCUUUUUUGUUGCUCCUCCAUCUUGGCCUUGUGUAAAUGCUGAAUCGCCAUAUCCCGCUUUUGCAACUCACUAAGCAACAACUGUUGACUCAUACUCAUAUCUUGAUAAGCCUGCUCCUUUGCCUCAUACAACAUCCUAGCUUUCCCCAUUAAAUGUUCCAUUUGCUCCAUAGAAAUUUCAAAAUCGGAUGAUGAUUUCAUAUCCCAAAGUCCAUCACUCCUAAUCCUCUUAUUACCCCCAUUAAGUGCAUGAUGGGGCAUAUCAUUCUCAAGAUGCUCAAUUUCCCUCUUGUUUCC
rnacentral:misc_RNA from 1 species